rnacentral:rRNA from 1 species
GACGAACGCUGGCGGCGUGCUUAACACAUGCAAGUCGAACGAAGUGGCGAACGGGUGAGUAACGCGUAAUCAACCUGCCCUUCAGAGGGGGACAACAGUUGGAAACGACUGCUAAUACCGCAUAAUGAAGGAGUGGAUUGCGUCUGAUUAGCUAGUUGGAGGGGUAACGCCCCACCAAGGAGAUGAUCAGUAACCGGUCUGAGAGGAUGACCUGCAACUUUGGGACGGUGACACGGCCCAUACUCCUACGGGAGGCAGCAGUGGGGAAUCUUCCGCAAUGGACGAAAGUCUGACGGAGCAACGCCGCGUGAGUGAUGACGGCCUUCGGGUUGUAAAGAUCUGUUAAUCGGGACGCGGUACCGGAAUAGAAAGCCACGGCUAACUACGUGCCAGCAGCCGCGGUAAUAC